GACGAAGGGGGCUAGCGUUGUUCGGAAUUACUGGGCGUAAAGCGCGUGUAGGCGGUUGUUCAAGUCAGGUGUGAAAGCCUUGAGCUCAACUCAAGAAAUGCACUUGAUACUGAAUGACUAGAGGACCGGAGAGGAUAGUGGAAUUCCCAGUGUAGUGGUGAAAUACGUAGAGAUUGGGAAGAACACCAGUGGCGAAGGCGGUUAUCUGGACGGUUACUGACGCUAAGACGCGAAAGCGUGGGGAGCAAACAGG
rnacentral:rRNA from 1 species